rnacentral:rRNA from 1 species
CCUAGCUCACUGGUCAAGUGGUUCCGCGCCGACAAUGUAGCGGGGCUCAAGCACACCGCCGAAGCCGUGGCACUCACACGUAUAACUUCGCCCGUCUCCCGCGUGGGGUCGGGUGCAGGUGUGUGGGUGGGUAGGGGAGCGUCGUGCCACCAGGGAAGCAGCGGAGUGAUCCAGCUGUGGAGGUGGCACGAGUGAGAAUGCAGGCAUGAGUAGCGAAAGCAGGGUGAGAAACCCUGCCGCCGGAUGACCAAGGGUUCCAGGGCCAGGCUAAUCCGCCCUGGGUGAGUCGGGACCUAAGGCGAGGCCGAGAGGCGUAGUCGAUGGACAACGGGUUGAUAUUCCCGUACCCGCGAAGGAGCGUCCCUGACGAACCUCGCUGUGCUAACCACCUGCGAACCGUGAUCCCUUCGGGGUGAUCGGAACGUGGCUGGGAACCUGGCGGGUAGUAGUCAAGCGAUGGGGUGACGCAGGAGGGUAGCUGAUCCCGGCCGGUGGUUGUGCCGGGGUAAGCGUGUAGGGCGAGGCAUAGGCAAAUCCGUGCCUCAUGAGCCUGAGACGUGAUGCCGAGACGUGUCAGUCGAAGUCAGUGAUCCCAUGCUGCCAAGAAAAGCCUCUAGCGAGCUCCCAGCGGCCCGUACCCCAAACCGACACAGGUGGUCAGGUAGAGAAUACCGAGGCGAUCGGGCGAACUGUGGUUAAGGAACUCGGCAAAAUACCCCCGUAACUUCGGGAGAAGGGGGGCCACAAGCCGUCAAACCCUACGCGGGUGGCAGCGGAAGGUGGCCGCAGAGACCAGGGGGAAGCGACUGUUUACUAAAAACACAGGUCCGUGCGAAGUUGAAAAACGAUGUAUACGGACUGACGCCUGCCCGGUGCUGGAACGUUAAGGGGACCGGUUAGCCCGCAAGGGCGAAGCUGAGAACUUAAGCGCCAGUAAACGGCGGUGGUAACUAUAACCAUCCUAAGGUAGCGAAAUUCCUUGUCGGGUAAGUUCCGACCUGCACGAAUGGCGUAACGACUUCCCUACUGUCUCAACCACAGGCCCGGCGAAAUUGCAGUACGAGUAAAGAUGCUCGUUACGCGCGGAAGGACGGAAAGACCCCGGGACCUUCACUACAGCUUGACAUUGGUACUCGAAUCCAAUUGUGUAGGAUAGGUGGGAGACUUUGAAGCUGCGACGCCAGUCGCGGUGGAGUCAAUCUUGAAAUACCACUCUGUUGAAUUUGGGUAUCUAACCUCGAACCGUGACCCGGUUCAGGGACAGUGUCUGGUGGGUAGUUUAACUGGGGCGGUUGCCUCCCAAAAUGUAACGGAGGCGCCCAAAGGUUCCCUCAACCUGGUUGGCAAUCAGGUGUUGAGUGCAAGUACACAAGGGGGCUUGACUGUGAGACUGACAGGUCGAGCAGGGACGAAAGUCGGGACU